UGAAGUUGGGUACACCUGCAACAGAGUUUUAUGUGCAGAUUGAUACUGGAAGUGAUGUUUUGUGGGUUGGCUGCAAUUCCUGCAAUGGUUGCCCCAAAUCAACUGGACUUAAAAUUCAGCUGAAAUCUUUUGACCCUAAAAGCUCAUCAACUGCCUCAUUGGUGUCUUGUUCUGAUAAAAUAUGCUCCCUUGGACUUCAGACACAAGAUUCUAGCUGUGAUGCAAAGGAUAAGCAGUGUACUUAUGGGUUCAAGUACGGAGAUGGCAGUGAAACAUCGGGCUAUUAUGUAUCAGACUUGUUGCAUUUUGACACAGCUGGCGGUGGUCAGUCUGUCACCUCAAACUCUUCAGCUAACAUUGUCUUUGGGUGUAGCACCUUAGCAACCGGGGUCUUGCAGAAAACAGAUAGAGCAGUUGAUGGGAU